GACGAACGCUGGCGGCGUGCUUAACACAUGCAAGUCGAACGGUGAAAGCGGAGCUUGCUCCGCUGGAUCAGUGGCGAACGGGUGAGUAACACGUGGGAGACCUGCCCCAGACUUCGGGAUAACUCCUCGAAAGAGGUGCUAAUACCGGAUACGAAGCCCCCAGGCAUCGGGGGGCUUGGAAAGUUGUUCGGUCUGGGAUGGGCCCGCGGCCUAUCAGCUUGUUGGUGAGGUAACGGCUCACCCAGCCGACGACGGGUAUCCGGCCUGAGAGGGCGACCGGCCACACGGGGACUGAGACACGGCCCAGACUCCUACGGGAGGCAGCAGUGGGGAAUAUUGCGCAAUGGGCGAAAGCCUGACGCAGCAACGCCGCGUGAGGGAUGACGGCCUUCGGGUUGUAAACCUCUUUCAGCAGGGAAGAAGCGAAAGUGACGGUACCUGCAGAAGAAGCACCGGCUAACUACGUGCCAGCCGCCGCCGUAA
rnacentral:rRNA from 1 species